CAGGUGCACCAUCACUUGGCUACGGACUUUCACCUAUUUACCCAGGUGGUGGAGCUGGCGCACUGGGAUAUGGUGGAAAACCUCCCAAACCCUACGGCGGUGCCCUCGGAGCCCUGGGAUAUCGAGGUAUGUGGGGAUACUGGAGGGAAGGGAAGGGAUCCAAGCUGAGCUAUAUGGAAGUCAAGGCCAACUUCCUCAAAGGCUGGGAUGUCCCAGACCCUGAGAUGGAGAAGUCACAGCUUAGCUUUGCACUGCCCCACUUCACUGAUCCCAGCAGUCCUAUGUGGGUCAGGAGAAGGUCCCUGAUGCCAAGGAAGACAAGACCAAGUGGCAAGAUUCCACCUUCCCAAACACUUCCCUGGUCUGGCUCCCUGGCACUGUUAGGGCACUUCUCCAGGGCUCUUUUGCAUGAGGCAGUUAAGCAGGCUCUCUGUCUUGCAGGAGCCACCCCAGAUCCCCCUUCCUAUAGAUCUGUCCUCCCCUAUGAUCAGACUAGAGGGCUUUGGGUCCCGUCCUCCUCAGGACUAUGUCCUAUAAGGAGCAGAGGAAAAAGGAGAGGGAUGAAGAUGAAG